GCAGGCAAUAACACUAGCCCUGAGACCACGUGGAUUUUGUUUUGCGCGCGAAUACAUAUGACACAGACGUAGAAUGAUGAGUUCUGCGCAUGAAUUGUGAGUCGGUGUUAGCAUGAAACGGCGGUGAAAUUUGUUGGAUUUUAAACUGGUUUAAUGUUCAGUUGAGGAGUUCGUCAUUUUACUGAGGUAUACAGAUGGGUAUGAAGUAUGUCCGAACCACGACGGAUAGCCUUUCAAACUGAUGAAAAUUUUACGAAGGAGAAAACAAAAGAAUUGCUACCAACCAUACGAUUUUGCCUAUCGCUUGGUGAGACCACCGACAAAUCAUGCCCGGAAUACAACUAUACAGACUUGGUGAAAUCAGCUCGGCCAGAGAAUCGAGAAACUAAUAUGGUGGGUGAUCCGUAUGAAGAAGAUGAAGAUAAAUUGAUGGAAAUUGCUAGAAAGUUUGAAGAGAAAUAUGGUCCUAAAGUUGGAAGAAAAAAGGAGAACUUUGGAAAGUGGGAAGAUUAUGUAGAUAGAGGCAUGGGGUAUGAUGAAACUGAUCCUUUCAUAGACAACGAUCAAGCAUACGAUGAGCUUGUUCCAUCAACCUUGACAACACAGUAUGGAGGAUUUUACAUUAAUACUGGGAACUUGGACUUCAAAGUGGUUACGGAUUCUGACUCUGAAGGCAAUCAGAGUGAACAUAAAGUUAACAAAAGAAGGAGAAAACGGCAUAAAGAUACAAUAACGAAAGAUAACAAGAAGCGAGCUAAAUUAAUAAAAGACAGUGGAGAUGGUUCACUGAAAAAAGCAAAGAAACAUUUGAGUGCCUUAGAAAAACAGAAACGAAAGAGUCAGCCUACAGUUGCUGAAUUGAUACAGCAGUAUAAAUCACAAAAUGUACAACAGGAAUGUCAAGAAGUCAAUGAGGAAUCUCCUGUUGCUGUAUCACUUAACAUGGAUGUUGCUCUUGAUGCUGAAGAGAAUGUCAAGAUUGAAGAUGCAAUUGAAUCUGUGAUAAAGGCUGCAAGAGAGGAAGAUGCCAGUAGUGGGAAGGUGAUUUCUACCACAGCUAGUAGUGAUAGUGAGGAAUUGAGACAAGCUUUAGAUUCCAUUGAUGCACCUAAGUUGCCUGAAAAUCUUCCUUCUGAUCUGGAUGAGUUAUUAACUAAUAUCAAACAGGCUGCAUAUUUGUCUGGAGAAGGAAAAUGCAAAUUUUUCUCUGGAGAUGUAAACAUUAUGCUUCUAAACAUAGAGCUGAAGUCCAGAAAACUAACAUCUAGUCAACGUUCUAUGAUAUAUGCUCACCUGGCUUCUCAUCUUCCUUGUACCAAAGAAACCCUUCAAAAACGUGCCAAAAAACUGGUCAUAGGCCAAGAAGAUGGAAAACUCAGAAUUCCAAUGCAGCAACUAAAGGAUGCAAUCAGUGAGGUAAUGCCUCAGAUGGAAGCAAAAUAUGCAAUCCACUGCCAACAAUUAGGUGUAGCAGAGAAUGAUGAAAAGGAAACUGAUUCUUUAUCAGACACUGACAGUGAAAAAUACCAGAGUCUUGAUGAAGAAGAAAAGAAAACAAGCCCUUUACCAAGGAAAAAAUUUGAGUGGAAUGACCAUAUAAGGGAGCUGCUCUGUGAUGCUGUAAGAAUAAAACUUAAAUGUUAUGAAGUAUCUAAAAUGAGAACCCAGUCAGCUGAAGAUUACUUAAGAUUGUUUUUAAAAAUGGAAGUUAAGAGACUGUGGCCUCCUGGGUGGAUGCAAACACGGAUUCUGUUCAAGGAGAGCAGCAGUGUUCACUCUUAUCUCACAAGUAGAUCAAGGAAGUUAAUUGCUUGUAAGAAAUUUCCAACACCAGAAAGUGUCGGUGUGUUGCCUUCAAGUACUGGAAAGCUAGCAUUUCAUUGUGGAAGUGAUCUUGGUCUGCAAGAAGUUGUGUAUUUAGGUCCAUUUCAUACUGGAAUUGGGACAGUCAAUUCUGAAGUUUUGUGCUCAUCAGCAGGUGACAACAAAGUGGGAUUAGAAUCUGAGAAAAGUGUAGCUAACCCUGUAGCUUUGUCUGAAAACUUAAUAAACCCAAGAACCUCAUCAGCAAUUUCCUCUUCUCAUCACCAACCACUUGUGUCUACUUGUGAAAAGCCAGUACUAGCUACCUCCGAGCGUUCUACAUCCAGUGCUUUUGAUGUAAGAAGUACCAGUUCUUUGCCUUGUAAGCAGCAACUUAUGGCUAGCCAACUGUUGGUAGAAGCUACAAAUAUUAAGUCACUCCCUGAUAUUGAAACUAAGACAACCAUUUCUUGUACAAGUACAAAAAUUCCAAAGACACAGAGUAAUGUGAAUGUUUAUCAAAUGGCCCAGAAAGCUUUGUUAAAUGAUAAUGUAACAUUAGGUAAAGAUAUUACUGUUCAGCUUCUUCCUUUAGACACUCCAUCCACAAAGGUUACUAAUAGUGGUCAAAAGAGGAAACCAGAUAUUAAUAAACCCCAGGUUAUUUCUGGUAGUGAGUUUCACACUGUUCCAUCUAAUAAUGAAUCUCUUUCUUCUCCCAAGAAGGAACAAUCAACAUCCUUCCAAACAAAUGUUAUAAAGUUUACUGAUGCAGCAACAAAAGUUUUACAGAAAAGCACAUCUCAAAAUUCAAUGGCUUCAGACAUCCUAAGCCAUAUUAUCUGUGCUAGACUUGCCGAUUUUCCUAAUACCAACACAGCUUCAACUAAUAUCAGACAGUUAACUCAAAUGGUAGACAAUGUACAGGUUCCUAAUCCACCAGUAGUUUCACAUCCUUCAUCAGCACAACUUGGGCAUAAUUUAAUUUUAAAGCAAUCUGGGCAAUCAUGUUCUGAAAUUCCCCAGUCUUUGUCUAUGCAAAGUAGUGGUUUGACUGGCAAUACUAAUAAUGUUAGCUUACUGAAAUCUUCUGUGAAAACUUUUUUACCUCAGCUGGAUGCCAUGUCCACUGAAAUGAAGAACAAGUUGCAAAUUGUAUCAGUUUCUCAAAAGCAGUUUCGAAAAGAACAUGGAUCUGUCAACAGACAACAAGAAAUUAAUGCCUCUAAAGAUGUAAAACAACCUGAGGCUCCAGAUGUUGGUUGUAUGAGCUCUUUGAUUAACCAGCUUACUGGAAUUGAAAAAGAGGAAAGUGAAAGGUUGGCAAUGUCAAACCAAGCAUUUGGGUUUUUAGAAGUUUUCAAAAAGUCUUUGGAAAGUGGUAGUGUCAGUAAACAUAUUCCAACUACUAUACAACCAAGUGCCAGUUCUGGAUCGUCAGUACAUUUUAAUACUCGAAAACAAGCAUGCAACUGGCCUACAAGACCAGUGAGCUCUACCCCUAAAAGUACAAGUAAGACUGAUGCUUCCUCACAAAAAAGUGUCAAUAUUUGUACUAAUCAGUCAUCAUUUGUACUACCACAAUUGUCUUCACAGAACAUUAUGGCAAAACUGAUUGAUAAUACUAUAGUAGAAAGUUUAAAAACUGAUAAAAAGCCAGUGUUCACAUCAGGAAUUACUUCAGGUACUUAUGAAAAAGUUCACAAUCUUGGUUCUAAAAAGCCACCCACAACGGAGUUUAUUUUUGAGGGAAUGAAAGGUUUUCCUAUUCCUUUACCAUCUGUGAGUACAACUACGUUACUUCAGCCUGCUACACAAACAAGCUCUGUGUUGUCUAAAGGUUGUGUUGCAUUGUCAGAACCAGUUAUUAAAGAACACAGGAAACCUGAUUUUGCAACAAAGAGAUCUGUGAAAAGAGGCAAUAUAUCAUCUAAUCAGCAAGAUGUUUCGCAACAGCUUGUAGCAGACCAAGCAAGACCAGCAGUUCCUCAGACAGGAAGAUCCAGUAACAGGAAUAAUAUGAAUUUCAAACUUCAUGGACAGAAAGAAACAGUUACAGUAGCUGGAGGUCAUCAAGGUCACUAUCAAACUUUAUCUUCCUCCGUAAACAGUAAUCCUGUGAGUUACCAGACAGUAAUUGUAACAACCUCUGUUGACCUGCAACAUCAAACUGAACCCUUGACCAUUGGUCUCCCUUCACAGAAUUCUGACUUGUUCACAGUACAUGUUACUAGUCACUUGAAUACGCAUUGUAAUACUGAAGAACAAGCAACCUCAGUAAGUGGACCUGGAAAUGAGCAACAACAGAUUAUUUCUGGAAGUUCAGCAGUGGUAUCAGAUGUUAGUGUAAUGAAGCCUCAAACCAGUAAUAUAGCUAGCCCUCAAGUUACUACUCAGUAAGAUGACUAUCUCCAUCAAGUUCUGUUAUGUAAAUACAAACAUGUAACAUAGAUGUAUUAAAGAAAAAUGAUGUGAUUCAGUAUUCAAGUUAGAUAAUGUUUGGGAACCUCAGACAUUAUGGUGUUUCUAAUAACAGUUCCAUGUACAGGCAAUAUGAGUGAAUUUUCAAGUAACAUCUGCCACCAAUGGCACAGCGGUAUGUCUGUGACCUA
rnacentral:misc_RNA from 1 species